UAUUGAAUUGCGGAUAACGAUGGAAACCCUAUCGCCUAAUACGUUAUAAAAAAUGAAUGUGAGUAUCUUAACAAAAUAAAAGGUAUCUCCGAAAAUGGUACUCAAUUAAAACGCAGUUUUAUGGGGAAUCUCAGAGUUAAUCAUAAAUAAUUUACUCUCCCAUGAUUCGGCAGUGAGUGUAGAGGUAUUCUUUUUUAGAGAAAACAUUGAGGACUCCCGAGCAAUCCCCCAUACCAGCCAGGGUUUAUCAUUAGAGGAACACUGUAAUUAACUGCGGGUUCGUCCCCGAGCAACAGUUUGCUGCCCGGCCCUCGUGCUGAGGUCGUUCCGCCCUGUAACUGUCUUGAUCGUGAGAGACCGGGAGAAGUCCUAAUGGGUGGAUAAACACUCAUAUCUACAGUGGGUUUCAGCCUCAUCAACUGGAUGGUUGGGCAUUGGCCAACUAUGGUUGUAACGGGUGCAGAGGAUUAGGGUUUGAUCCUGGAGAGGUAGCCUGAGAGACAGCUUCCACUUCUAAGGAAGGCAGCAGGCGCGAAACGUUCUCAAUGAUUGUAUCAGAUUGAAGACGUUAAGGGACAUAGCAAUACCUUGCCGAAAAGGUGAGGUAAUUGAAAUGAGAGAGGUUUAAAACACCCGAUUGAGAAACAAUUGGAGGACA
rnacentral:rRNA from 1 species